AGCGGGUGUAGUUCAAUGGUAGAACACCAGCCUUCCAAGCUGGAUACCCGGGUUCGAUUCCCGGUACCCGCUCCAU
rnacentral:tRNA from 6 species